AGUUGUAGAAUCACUGGUGAAUAAGGGGUGGGCAAGUUCUGGUGUCAGCCGCCGCGGUAAAACCAGCACCUCGAGUGGUCAGGAGGUUUAUUGAGCCUAAAGCAUCCGUAGCCGGUUGCAUAAGUUUUCGGUUAAAUCUAUGCGCUUAACGUAUAGGCCGCCGAAAAUACUGUGCAGCUAGGGAGUGGGAGAGGUACACGGUACUCGAUAGGAAGGGGUAAAAUCCUUUGAUCUAUUGAUGACCACCUGUGGCGAAGGCGGUGUACCAGAACACGUUCGACGGUGAGGGAUGAAAGCUGGGGGAGCAAACCGGAUUAGAUACCCGGGUAGUCCCAGCUGUAAACGAUGCAGACUCGGUGAUGCAUUGGCUUGUGGCCAAUGCAGUGCCGCAGGGAAGCCGUUAAGUCUGCCGCCUGGGAAGUACGUACGCAAGUAUGAAACUUAAAGGAAUUGGCGGGGGAGCACCACAAGGGGUGAAGCCUGCGGUUCAAUUGGAGUCAACGCCAGAAAUCUUACCUGGGGAGACAGCAGAAUGAAGGUCAAGCUGAAGACUUUACCAGACACGCUGAGAGGUGGUGCAUGGCCGUCGCCAGCUCGUGCCGUGAGAUGUCCUGUUAAGUCAGGUAACGAGCGAGACCCCUGCGUCUAGUUGCUACCAUUACUCUCUGGAGCAGUGGAGCGAAUUAGACGGACCGCCACAGUUAAUGUGGAGGAAGGAAGGGGCCACGGCAGGUCAGUAUGCCCCGAAACCCUAGGGCUACACGCGGGCUGCAAUGGUAUUGACAUGUGUUCCGAAUCCGAAAGGAGGAGGCAAUCAUCAAACAUAUCUCAGUUAUGACUGAGGGC
rnacentral:rRNA from 1 species